CGCUGGCGACUGUCGCUACUU
rnacentral:snRNA from 1 species